AGGACGAACGCUGGCGGCGUGCUUAACACAUGCAAGUCGAGCGGAAAGGCCCUUCGGGGUACUCGAGCGGCGAACGGGUGAGUAACACGUGAGUAAUCUGCCCCUAGCUCUGGGAUAGCUCCGGGAAACCGGGAUUAAUACCAGAUACGACCACUUUAGACAUCUCUUGUGGUGGAAAGAUUUCGGCUGGGGAUGAACUCGCGGCCUAUCAGCUUGUUGGUGAGGUAACGGCUCACCAGGCGACGACGGGUA
rnacentral:rRNA from 1 species